AUACCAUGAUGUGAGCACUUCCUUAAUAACUCUUUAAAUCUUUCCCAAGCGUCAUACAAUGAAUCCCCUUUUGUCUGGUAGAAAUUAUUAAUUUCCCCUCUCAACUU